ACCCUGAGAGAGCAAAGAGGCCGACUGGCUGACUGAGGGAGAGGGGAGCGCCUCGGGCACCGUGAAGGCCCAGGAUCCAGAGCAACCUGCUCCCCUCUGCUCCCCUGGUGAAGCCCCUGGGUCAGCCGGUCCACGGCCAGCAGACAGAGAAGCCAUUCAUGGCACACACUCUCCCCUCCAGAUCUGCGGAUGGCUGGGACCCCCUGCCAUUUAUCCAGCUCCCCAGACACUUUGUGGACAGAACCCAGGUAAUCUGAUUAAGGGGCUCCAGGAAGAGUAGUCUGAGCACGGGAGCACGCUGACCCGCAUGCCCAGCCUCUACCCGCGGAGUGCUGGCAGCAGCCUUCCUCCUGGGUGGGACAACCAAGAUGGCUGCAGGCAGUGCCACAAGUUCCCUGGGA